CGGCCACCUUGGUUGGUAGUCGGGGUCAUUUGACACUUUUUUAAAUAGAUACCAUAGUAAUGAUUGUGGCCAAGUUUGGUUAAAUUUGGGCCAGUUUUAGAAAAGAAGAUUUUUGUACAAGUUACAAAAAUGACGAAAAGUUGUUUAAUAUUGACUAUAAAGGGCAAUAACUCCUUAAGGGGUCCUCUGACAAUUUUGGUCAUGUUGACUUAUUUGUAGAUCUUACUUUGCUGAACA
rnacentral:lncRNA from 1 species